GGCUCUCGCUCGCUCUCUCUCGCUCGCUCUCCCUUUCCCGUCUCUGUGGUUUGUAAGGGAGACAGCGACUAUGAGGAGACAAACUGAGGACUGGGGAACAAGCAGCAUAAGAAAGAAGUGUUGAGAGCUGCUCUUAACCCUUUUGGAGUCCGAAGUCAAAAGGGAAGUAGAGGGUUUGACGCAUCCCUUACAUCCUGCGUUUACUCUGACCACAGUCCAUCCCUUUUCUCACAAGCGGAGCUCAGCCCUGCUUCCCUUCCUGUUGAUUCCCAGUCAGAUACAUGACUGCCUGAAGUUACAUUGUAGAUGCUGAAAUCACUGCACCUUAAAAACAAAAAGAUUAAGCAGCACUGUAUUCCUGUAAGUAAAAGCUUUUCUGGUACCUUUUGUCCGUAUUUUUCCUCUAUAUGCAUCCGAAGUGUUAGCACAGUAGCUGGUCUCGGAUAAAGGUCAGAGUCCCCUUGAAUGGGAUUUAGAAGUUCAAAGGAUGUUUUAUUUAAAAACUAAAACCGAACUUACAUCUUGCAGAUCUUUAAUUUCA
rnacentral:lncRNA from 1 species